rnacentral:rRNA from 1 species
CUUCGGGUCGUAAGCUCUGUUGUUAGGGAAGAACAAGUACGUUCGAAUAGGGCGGUACCUUGACGGUACCUAACCAGAAAGCCACGGCUAACUACGUGCCAGCAGCCGCGGUAAUACGUAGGUGGCAAGCGUUGUCCGGAAUUAUUGGGCGUAAAGCGCGCGCAGGCGGUCUUUUAAGUCUGAUGUGAAAGCCCACGGCUCAACCGUGGAGGGUCAUUGGAAACUGGAGGACUUGAGUGCAGAAGAGGAGAGUGGAAUUCCACGUGUAGCGGUGAAAUGCGUAAUUGUGGAGGAACACCAGUGGCGAAGGCGGCUCUCUGGUCUGUAACUGACGCUGAGGCGCGAAAGCGUGGGGAGCAAACAGGAUUAGAUACCCUGGUAGUCCACGCCGUAAACGAUGAGUGCUAGGUGUUGGGGGGUUCCACCCUCAGUGCUGAAGUUAACACAUUAAGCACUCCGCCUGGGGAGUACGAACGCAAGGUUGAAACUCAAAGGAAUUGACGGGGGCCCGCACAAGCA